rnacentral:misc_RNA from 1 species
CGGAAGUAUUGUAAUACAAGAUGGCUGCCGUGUUUACAUGAACUGAGAAGGCUUAUCGAAUUUACGCUUUUGAGGUGAAAGAGAACAGACGUGUCACUCGGUGACAUCGGUAUAUACUUUAGAGGAGCUGAUGGCUGUACAGAUGUUCACACACAUCCACGAACCAGCAGCUCGUGUCCGGGCUCUCUGUGAUUAUGGCUCCAAGGUUGAUGUGGACAAGGCAAUAUCACCCAAACUCUACCUUCGUUCAGGUCGCGAGAUGAUCCGGAUGGCAAACAUAUACCUGGAUGAGGGGAACCUGGAGAGUGCCUUUAUCCUGUACUCCAAGUACAUCACAUUAUUUAUAGAGAAACUGCCAAGACAUCCAGAUUACAAGUCGGCUCCCCACACGGAACUUGCUGAGUUAAAGAGGAAACUGAAGCAUGUGUUUCCUCUAGCCGAAGAGAUCAAGAGCAAACUGAAGACGAGAUACACGGCCCAGGAGAGGGAGAGGCAGGCUGUGGAGCGUAAGCGCCAGGAAGCGUUGGAGCAGGAGGCGCAGCUGAGGAGGGAGGAAGAGGAACGAGUGCAGCAGGAGCAGGCUGCCAUUAAAGCGCUCAAGGCCAAGGAAGCUGAUGACAAAUGGCGCCGGGAGCAGGAGGAACGUUACCGAGAGCUGCAGAGUCGUGCCCAGCAGGAUCAGGACAGGCAGCAGCCAAGGGUUGCCGCGGCAACUGUACCGGUUUUCGAUCCCGAACUGGACCCUCAGUUUGGCUUGAACGACAUCAGUAGUCCCGGGUUGCCACCCACUGCCCCGCCCUCUGCCGUGCUCCCAGCCCCACCAUCGUACGACCAGAUCACGGGACCCUCGUCAGUACCAGGCAUACCUGACCGAGAACUGAAGAAGCUGGCCAUUAGUGAUAAUGAGCCAACUAAUCCCCCCUCGGUAGACCGGAGCACCAAGCCUUCUGUCAUGACCUUUGACCACUUCACCAGUAUCGGAGGAGGGGGUGGGGCUGGAGGUCUGAGGGAGAUCACAGUCCCCACGGACCUCAUGAAGAAGUUCCUUGACAUUGCUCAAUCCAACACAGACAAGAAGACGGAAACAUUAGGCAUACUGUUUGGUACUCUGGCCCAGGACCAGUUCCACGUGACCCACCUGUUCAUCCCCCAGCAGCGCGGCACCCCCGACAGCUGCGACAUGGAGAACGAGAUCGAUCUAAUCGACUACCAGGACAAAUACAACCUCAUCAACCUCGGCUGGAUACAUACCCAUCCAACACAAACAGCCUUCCUGUCCAGUGUUGAUCUACACAGUCACUACCCCUACCAGAUCAUGCUGCCAGAAGCCAUCGCCAUAGUGUGCUCCCCGAAAUAUAAUGAAACAGGUAUAUUUCGCCUGACAAACGACCGUGGCAUCGCAGAAAUAGGGGGCUGCAGUCAGCCUGGGUUCCACUAUCACACCAAAGAGCCUCCGUUGUUUGAAUCCAGCCCCCACGUGAAGAUCCUGGAGGACAAGGAAGUCACUGUUGCUGAUAUGAGGAAGAAAUAGACGCUGUCAGUCAACUGUCAGGCAUGUGAUAGCAGCCCUCGGCCCGGGUGAAGUGGGCUGGCAGAUCAUGGAGUCUCGGAGUCACGGAGUCAUGGAAACAGUCCACUCUUUACAUAGGCUUAAAAAGAUAAAAGAAUUGGUUCUCAGGCAAAGACUUUUGAAUAUAUAGUGCUAGUGCAGGCGUGUGGUGUUUUUUUGUUUUUUUUCUGCUUGUUCAAACUAGAAUGUUACAAACACUUGUGUACCAUCAACCUGGGAAAUAGUGUCCCUACUUAAACAAGCAUACAAACUCCUAUUGCCGCCAUUACCAUAAGCAGUGUGCGUGUAAAGGGAAGUAACUUCAUGGUAUAUUGGAUCGCAUUGUUUUUAAGCAUUAGAAUUUAUUUUUAUUUUUUUGUAAAUGGAAAUAAAAACGAAACAUGCGGCAGACUUCAUGAUGAUCCUGGCGGUGCCUGAGAACCAAGACUAUUAUUUUUUAAGCCUUAGUCUCCAUAUACCCUGAAUAAUCGCAAUGAUACCAUUUUCUAAGCUCACAAGACUUCUUUCAGAGGCAUUUAGAAGUUGGAGUACUAAGUUAGGAUAAGAUAUUGAUAAAAGAAGUUGUUCUUCCAUGUGUAUUAUCCUCACUUAACACCUAAACAGCAUUAGAAACUAACUGUUUUAGUCUACUAGUCCUUACGAUGAAAACAUAUUGCAAAACCCUUAAAAAGGGCAAAUUUCUACCAGUCCUUAUGAUACCUUAACUAUUGGGCAGUUUGGCAAAGACUAUAGGACUAGUGCCAAUUUCUAAUGCUGCUAAAUGUGACAAAGUUUGAUGGUGUUGUUCAAUAUACAACACUGCACACAAUUAUGUGGUGACCUGGGCAGGUCAGAUAGGUUAAUUGACAUACACCAGUUUUAAAACAGUUUAGAUCAUGAAAUUAAUGUAACCCUUUUAAUAACUGAAGUGUUUAAUGAAUGAACCAAGUCAAAGUUUUGUAAAAAUGUUACAAAAUGAGAAUGUUGUAUUUUAAUUGAAGCUAUGCCUACAUCAAACCUGUACUAGUCUGUGGGGAGUGUGGGUGGAGUGAUAAGCUUCCGUUACAUUGAAGAGUUGUGUCCCUUGCCCACAAAGUAGUGUUGAUCGUUGGUUUGAUACCCAGAUUUGUCGUGAUUAUGACACUUGGCCUGCCCUUGCCCUACCUGUUCAUGAAGAGUUCAUGGCAGAGGUGAAUGCCUCACCCUACCUGUUCAUGUAGAGUUCUUGACAGUGGUGAAUGCCUCACCCUACCUGUUCAUGGCAGUGGUGAAUGCCUCACCCUACCUGUUCAUGUAGAGUUCAUGGCAGUGGUGAAUGCCUCACUCUCUACCUGUUCAUUUAGAGUUCAUGGCAGUGGUGAAUGCCUCACCCUACCUGUUCAUGGCAGUGGUGAAUGCCUCACCCUACCUGUUCAUGUAGAGUUCAUGGCAGUGGUGAAUGCCUCACUCUCUACCUGUUCAUGUAGAGUUCAUGGCAGUGGUGAAUGCCUCACUCUCUGCCUGUUCAUGUAGAGUUCAUGACAGUUGUGAAUGCCUCACCCUGCCUGUUCAUGUAGAGUUCAUGACAGUGGUGAAUUCCUCACCCUGCCUGUUCAUGAAGAGUUCAUGGCAGUGUUGAAUGCCUCACUCUCUACCUUUUCAUGUAGAGUUCAUGACAGUGGUGAAUGCCUCACCCUACCUGUUCAUUUAGAGUUCAUAGUAGUGGUGAAUGCCUCACCCUGCCUGUUCAUGUAAAGUUCAUGGCAGUGGUGAAUGCCUCACCCUACCUGUUCAUGUAGAGUUCAUGGCAGUGGUGAAUGCCUCACUCUCUACCUUUUCAUGUAGAGUUCAUGACAGUGGUGAAUGCCUCACCCUACCUUUUCAUGUAGAGUUCAUGGCAGUGGUGAACGCCUCACUCUCUACCUGUUCAUGUAGAGUUCAUGGUAGAGGUGAAUGCCUCACCCUACCUGUUCACGUAGAGUUCAUGGCAGUGGUGAAUGCCUCACUCUCUACCUGUUCACGUAGAGUUCAUGGCAGUGGUGAAUGCCUCACCCUGCCUGUUCAUGUAGAAUUCAUGACGGUGGUGAAUGCCUCACCCUGCCUGUUCAUGUAGAGUUCAUGGCAGUGGUGAAUGCCUCCCCCUGCCUGUUCAUGUAGAGUUCAUGACAGUGGUGAAUGCCUCCCCCUGCCUGUUCAUGUAGAAUUCAUGAUGGUGGUGAAUGCCUCACCCUGCCUGUUCAUGUAGAGUUCAUGACAGUUGUUAAUGCCUCACCCUGCCUGUUCAUGUAGAGUUCAUGACAGUUGUGAAUGCCUCACCCUACCUGUUCAUGUAGAGUUCAUGACAGUUGUGAAUACCUCACCCUGCCUGUUCAUGUAGAGUUCAUGACAGUUGUGAAUGCCUCACCCUGCCUGUUCAUGUAGAGUUCAUGACAGUUGUGAAUGCCUCACCCUACCUGUUCAUGUUGGGUUCAUUACAGCAGUGAAUGCCUCACCCUGCCUGUUCAUGUUGGGUUCAUUACAGCAGUAAAUGCCUACAACCUGCACUCUUGGCUUCCUCCCAUGUAACGCACAGUCGUCUGAGGCCCCACAAAUUCGCUGUGCAGAGUUGAGUCCCUUGGGCACACCAGAAAUCUAUACUUGUGCGUUCAAAUCCCGGUUCGCCCCGACUAUGUUACUAGGUUUGUCAGCACCAUAUCAGUUUUCGUGGGUUUCACCGAGGAAAGCCCACUAUAUGGCUUUCCUCGCACAUUAAGCUGACACGCCAUGAUAUAACUGGAAUAUUGUUCAAAGCAGCGUUUCAAUCCAACUGACUCUCUCCCAUAUAUUAUGAAUACAACUCAAAUACACACGGUCACUGACUUGAUACUGGUCAGCUGUGUAGUUUUAUCACGAUUUAUACUGCUCUGACAGAAAAUGAAAAUAUUAAUAUUUGUUAAUGAAUUCUUCUCAAAUUUUUAAGUUUAGGUUUGAGUUAGGUUCAAUGUAAGUACUCCUUUUGCUUUGUGAUCGAGUGGAUGAAAAGUCCUUAGAACAGGACCAUUGUUGGUCAAAAACUGACAUUAUUAAGUGAUAUAUAUGCAUGAAUCAGUGCAGCAGUGGAAUCACUACAGGGGCUGUAGUAAACAGCACACAUUGGUCUGUAGUUAACAGCUGAGUGUGAUCUGUAGUAGCAGCUCAAUGUGCCUGUAGUGAACAGCUGAGUCAGAUCUGUAGCAAACAGCUCACACAGGUCUGUAGUAAACAGCUCAAUAAGAUCUGUAGUAGCAGCUCACAUGGGUCUGUAGUAACAGCUCAAUGAGAUCUAUAGUAAACAGCUCAAAUGGGUCUGUAGUAAACAGCUCCAUGGGCCUUUAUAGUAAACAGCUCUCCAGGGCCCAGUAAACAACCCACCUGGUUCUGUGGUAAACCACCCCCGAAGGUCUGUAGUAAACUGUCCACAAAGGUGGAUCUUCCACACAGAAUGGCAGGUAUCACAUGUCUGACUUGUAUUAUGGUGCUUUAUGAUAUUGUGUAACUAUAUGAGUCAAAUUUUGUACAUUUGUACCAAGCUGUCGCAGAUGUAGAAACUGUUUCUGAUAGUGCUGGAUGUGUUUGUGUUUGUUUGUGAAUGUAAACACGUUAUUUGUUACCGCAGUGCCAUAUCAGCAGGCACCAGUUAGGUCCUUGUUCUUGCUUCACGAUAAGUAAGUGGAUGUUUCUGUGAGUGAACUUCUGUUGGUUAAUAGUCAUGCUGCUUUAAGUGGUUUGUCAUCUUCCCGAGGCAAGAGAGUUAACUGACUAUAAAAGUCCAGUUUCCACCCUUGCCGAACAAGGCUGGUAUUAUGGAGUUACAUUUCGGCUAGACUAACGAGACACCGAAAUCGAAAUC